CGGAGGGGCUAGCGUUGUUCGGAAUUACUGGGGCGUAAAGCGCACGUAGGCGGCUUUGUAAGUUAGGGGUGAAAGCCUGGAGCUCAAACUCCAGAAUUGCCUUUAAGACUGCAUCGCUUGAAUCCAGGAGAGGUGAGUGGAAUUCCGAGUGUAGAGGUGAAAUUCGUAGAUAUUCGGAAGAACACCAGUGGCGAAGGCGGCUCACUGGACUGGUAUUGACGCUGAGGUGCGAAAGCGUGGGGGAGCAAACAGGAUU
rnacentral:rRNA from 1 species